rnacentral:lncRNA from 1 species
AUGAUUUUUAAAAAAAAAAUUAAAAAUUAAAAAAAAAUUAAAAAUUAAAAAAUAAAUAAAAAAGAGGAAAAGGGGGGAAACCGGAUUUUGCCUCCCACACUCCAAAAAAAAGAGCUUUUUUUGCACAAAGGGUAUUUGGUUCCCCCCAUUUUCCCACUAACUUUCCCUAUAAAUAGAUGCACCAUUCCCCUUCAUUUUUCAUGCUUUCUAGCCCCCAAAA